UACAGAGGUCUCAAGCGUUGUUCGGAUUCAUUGGGCGUAAAGGGUGCGUAGGUGGCGCCGUAAGUCAGGUGUGAAAUUUCGGAGCUUAACUCCGAAACUGCAUUUGAUACUGCGGUGCUUGAGGACUGGAGAGGAGACUGGAAUUUACGGUGUAGCAGUGAAAUGCGUAGAGAUCGUAAGGAAGACCAGUGGCGAAGGCGGGUCUCUGGACAGUUCCUGACACUGAGGCACGGAAGGCCAGGGGAGCAAACGGG
rnacentral:rRNA from 1 species